rnacentral:rRNA from 1 species
UACGUAGGGUGCAGGCGUUAAUCGGAAUUACUGGGCGUAAAGCGUGCGCAGGCGGUUUCUUAAGUCAGAUGUGAAAGCCCCGGGCUUAACCUGGGAACUGCGAUGGAAACUAGCGAGCUGGAGUGUGGCAGAGGGGGGUGGAAUUCCGCGUGUAGCAGUGAAAUGCGUAGAGAUGCGGAGGAACACCGAUGGCGAAGGCAGCCCCCUGGGCUAACACUGACGCUCAGGCACGAAAGCGUGGGGAGCAAACAGG